rnacentral:rRNA from 1 species
AGUGAACGCUGGCGGUAGUCCUAACACAUGCAAGUCGAACGUCAGCACAGUAAGAGCUUGCUUUUACGGGUGGCGAGUGGCGGACGGGUGAGUCAUACAUCGGAAUCUACUUUUUCGUGGGGGAUAACGUAGGGAAACUUACGCUAAUACCGCAUACGACCUACGGGUGAAAGCAGGGGAUCUUCGCACCUUGCGCGAUUGAAUGAGCCGAUAUCGGGUUAGUUAGUUGGCGGGGUAAUGGCCCACCAAGGCGACGAUCCGUAGGUCGUCUGAGAGGAUGUUCAGCCACCAUGGAACUAUGACACACACCAUACACCUACGGGAGGCAGCAGACGAGAAUAUGUGACUAUAGGCGGAAGACUCGGUUACGCAGUCCGGGUGGAUGCAGGAGGCUUUCCGCUUGUAAAACCCUUUUGGUGGGGAAGAAAAGCAGCAGAUUAAGACCGCGCUUUUGUGACGGUACCCAAGAAAUAAGCACCGGCUAACUACGAG